GAUUUUGCUUCAGCAAUGACCAAAUUUCUUCUUAAAAACAGUGUUGGUGAUAGCAGUUGGCAGAGUCUUUUCAUGUCCCUUCUCCACACAUGGUAAUUGCUGCUUGUUAUUUUAGACUCAGGUUGUCCUGAUACUUGAGCACCUCCUGCCUUACCCUCUUGUGAGUGCUCAGAUUAUCGGUGGCCCAAACCAUCAGGCCUGAUGUCUGAGAAAUUGAAAUGCCCAUUUCUUAACCUCUGUGAUACAAUAUCUGUCAUUGGUUUAGGUGUGCCCGCCCCACUCACACAGCUCAGGCUUGCCUCGAGGGCUUUGUCCUGCCUCUGCAUCUUCAGUGCCAGGUCAGAGGCACGCUCUACCAUGCCUGCUUAUGUGCGUGUUUGUUUAUGGUAGAGCAUUUAUUUCAGUGAGGUCUAUGACCUUGAUCAGGGUAUUGUAUUUUGCUGGCCUUUUCAGUUUCCAGUUGAUGCUUCCGUGGUGAUGCAGGCGUGGCUUCUGCGGCAUGCUGUGUGGAAGGCAUGAAAGAGCCCACGGAAAGCACAGUACUCAGUCGGGUUUGCUAUGCUGUGCCCACUCAGUACAGUGCAUUUUUAUGCCAAUUCAGCAUCUUAUAAAUGAUCUUUGGGAUAAUUAUUGAAGGAUAAUCUUGUUUGGAAAUUAACCUCCUGAGAACUAUAUUAAAGAUCAGUAACCAUCGUGGGUGGGCAGUUAGCUUCAAUUAACAAAGAUGGACUUCCAGAAGAGAGAGAAUCUCCCCCAACUCUGUAUUACUGUGAAAGGUUUUGUGUGUUGGUGAAUAUUUUCUAUAGUCACUGUAUCUUGUGCAUGUUUUGAGUCUCCGAUCGUUUGACCCUAGCUUGUAGAGUGAAGGGUCAGCUGUGAGUACUUAACUGAUUUCCUGAGUGUGUUCUCACCAUAGUCAGGGUCCUGGUCGCAUGUGUAGGGAGAGAGAGUAGGUAACCUAAGAACCUUUCUGUUGUCUGGUCUCCAUUUCUUACCUUAUUUUUGUUGUUGUUAAAUGUAUAUGUGGGUGUAUUGCUUUCCUUUAUGCAUUUCCACCAUAGCUGGAGGAGCCAUAAAAGGGUGUCAGAUACAUUGGAACUGGAGUUACAGAUGGCUAUGAGCUAUAUGUGAUGUGGAUGCUAUGAAUUUAACCGAGGAAGAUCAGGCUGUGCUCUUGAUCACUGAUCCACCUCUCCAGCCGCCUGAUCCUUUUUAGCAACGUGGCAGUAAUCUCCACUUGGUGACUUUCCUGGAGCACUGGGGUAGGGAGGAGCAUCUGCUAUCCUAGAAACGACUGCAUUUGUUUAAUUUUUUUUUCUUUACUAAACUAACCACCAUAAUAAGAUAACUUAAAGAUGAUCUGUGUCUCUAGAAAACUUGAAUGAAUUAAAUUAGUUCAGUCAAAAGAGCAGUUCUACUUUCAGAAUGCUGUUCUUUAUCUGACUUUUCAAAGCACUCAUUGUCUUGGCGAGGGGACUGCAUUUCCUGAUGGUUUUAAACAGGAGUUGGGAGGAGCCUAGACUGAUGGUUCCUCUGGAAGAUAAGAAAGAAUGUUGCAUUGUUACCAACGUGGCUGGCCUAUGAAAGACUAAUCUGAAUGCCGUGUAUCAAUGUGGAAACAGAAUUUUUAUGGAUUGGGAACAAAAAAAAUCAUAAGGCAAGACAUUUUCAAGUAUAUUGGUGGAAAUAUCAGGUAGGCAAGCUACAGCAAAGAUGGUAAUCUGUUACAAGUUUCAAGUACUCUAUGAAGACUUUCUGUAUGUAUAUUCCAAAAGGUUUUACAUCGUGAGGAAGCUAGGUCAGACACUUAGGGGGACUGUGAGUGGUCUGUAAAGGGACUAAAGCUACUCAAGAUAGAACUUGGCAUUUUGGCUCUUUCCACAAUCAUGAAGUUGUAAUUAGUCAGCAGUAGGUGUGGCUUUUUUUUUCUAGGAACUUUACUGCACAUUAUUUUGCGGUAAAAGGUCCUUGUCAUGUAAAGCAGACAUAGCUUUCGUAUCUCGUCCAGCAGUCCCCUGGGAAGAUGAGGAUGGGAGGAUCCCCAGCAGCUCAUGGGGUCAGGCACAGCUAAAGAAGACAGACAGGGCAGGGUGAAGACUGAUGGACACUCCAGGCUGCCCUCAGAUUUCUGCACCCCUGUUCUGCAUGCUCGUAAACAAUGUAUAUACACACGACAACAGAAAACAGAAGACCCGUGCUUCAAGUCCUCAGUUUCUCUUAAAGGUUUGUUAAAUUCAACUUCAAAUAGCAACAGAAAAUGUUGCCAUGAUAGUUGAAACCUAGUGAGAAGGACACACACACACUUCAGAAAACCUUGGGAGGCAGAGGCUGGUAUGUCUCUGAGUUUGAGGCCAGCAAGGGCUGGUUAUACAGAAAGAUCCUGUC
rnacentral:lncRNA from 1 species